UUGGAGGGCAAGUCUGGUGCCAGCAGCCGCGGUAAUUCCAGCUCCAAUAGCGUAUAUUAAAGUUGUUGCAGUUAAAAAGCUCGUAGUUGAAUUUCGGGGUUCUUCCGUUGGUCAGGCUAACAAGUCAGUACUAGCGUGUAGAAUCUCUACCUUCUGGGGAACCAUCAUGUUAUUAAUUUAGCGUGGUGGGAAACCAGGACCUUUACCUUGAAAAAAUUAGAGUGUUCAAAGCAGGCUUACGUCUGAAUACAUUAGUAUGGAAUAAUAAAAUAGGACGGUGGUCCUGUUUUGUUGGUUUCUGAAUCACCGUAAUGAUUAAUAGGGAUAGUUGGGGGCAUUAGUAUUCAAUUGUCAGAGGUGAAAUUCUUGGAUUUAUUGAAGACUAACUUCUGCGAAAGCAUUUGCCAAGGAUGUUUUCAUUAAUCAAGAACGAAAGUUAGGGGAUCGAAGACGAUCAGAUACCGUCGUAGUCUUAACCAUAAACUAUGCCGACUAGGGAUCGGACGAUGUUAAAUUUUAUUGACUCGUUCGGCGCCUUACGGGAAAC
rnacentral:rRNA from 1 species